rnacentral:rRNA from 1 species
GACCCGACUGCUAUUUGGGUGAGAAUAAGCCAUGCGAGUCGAAUGGGAUACCUAAAUUUCCCAUGGCAAACUGCUCAUUAACACAUGAUCAACUUACCCUAUAGAGAAAAAUAACCUCGGGAAACUGAGGAUAAUAUUUCGUAGUUGAAUAGGCUUGGAAAAGUUUUUCAAUAAAAGGGAUAAAAAAAAUGGUUUUUAUCUGCUAUAGGAUAGGAUCGUGGACGAUUAUGGUUGUUGGUGAGGUAACGGCUCACCAAGCCGAUAAUCGAUAGGGGCCGUGAGAGCGGGAGCCCCGAGAUGGGUACUGAGACAACGACCCAGGCCUUACGAGGCGCAGCAGGCGCGGAACCUCCGCAAUACACGAAAGUGUGACGGGGUUACCCAAAGUGUUCAAUUCUGAACUGUGGUAGGUGAGUAAUGUUCCCUACUAGAAAGGAGAGGGCAAGGCUGGUGCCAGCCGCCGCGGUAAAACCAGCUCUUCAAGUGGUCGGGAUAAUUAUUGGGCUUAAAGUGUCCGUAGCCGGUUUGGUAAGUUCCUGGUAAAAUCGGGUAGCUUAACUAUCCGUAUGCUAGGAAUACUGCUAUACUAGAGGGCGGGAGAGGUUUGAGGUACUACAGGGGUAGGGGUGAAAUCUUAUAAUCCUUGUAGGACCACCAGUGGCGAANGCGUCAGACUGGAACGCGCCUGACGGUGAGGGACGAAAGCCAGGGGAGCGAACCGGAUUAGAUACCCGGGUAGUCCUGGCCGUAAACGAUGCAUACUNNGUGAUGGUACGGCCAUGANCCGUAUCAGUGCCGUNNGGAAAC